AUUGAACGCUGGCGGCAGGCCUAACACAUGCAAGUCGAGCGGAUGAGGAGAGCUUGCUCUCUGAUUUAGCGGCGGACGGGUGAGUAAUGCCUAGGAAUCUGCCCGGUAGUGGGGGAUAACGUUCCGAAAGGAACGCUAAUACCGCAUACGUCCUACGGGAGAAAGCAGGGGACCUUCGGGCCUUGCGCUAUCAGAUGAGCCUAGGUCGGAUUAGCUAGUUGGUGAGGUAAUGGCUCACCAAGGCGACGAUCCGUAACUGGUCUGAGAGGAUGAUCAGUCACACUGGAACUGAGACACGGUCCAGACUCCUACGGGAGGCAGCAGUGGGGAAUAUUGGACAAUGGGCGAAAGCCUGAUCCAGCCAUGCCGCGUGUGUGAAGAAGGUCCUCGGAUUGUAAAGCACUUUAAGUUGGGAGGAAGGGUUGUAGAUUAAUACUCUGCAAUUUUGACGUUACCAACAGAAUAAGCACCGGCUAACUUCGUGCCAGCAGCCGCCGUAAGAC
rnacentral:rRNA from 1 species